UGUGUGGUGUCUCCCUCCAACACAGGGAGCUCCAGGCACACAGGGCAGACCUCCUCCAUGUCAGUAUCCUGAGUGCCUGGCACAGUGCCCACCAUGGAGCAGGCACUCAAUAAACUGUGUAGAAUUCAAACAAGCUAAAAGAAGACUAUAUGCUUUGUACACACUGGAAUUCCUUAAUAUUUCAAAAUGGAAAUCCGAGUUCUGAAAAAAAAUCAAGGUUUUAAGAGCCAACACAGAAUCUGGAACCAUCGAGCAAUGCAUCAAGUUCUCUUUCUCUGCAUCCAGUUCUCCUGGGGCUUAAAAAAAAAAUACUGAUGGCCAGACUCCAUCCCUGGCAAUUAUAAUGUAAUAGAUCUGCAGUGGGCCUGGGCAGUGUUAGGUAUUAAAAGGUCUAAGGUAGAGCCAGGAUUGAGACUCUGCCAUAGCUCAGAGGGGUCCACCACAUUGUAAAGAGCUCCCAGUCUAAGUGAUGCUGGAAGUCAGAGAACUGGUUUACAGGAAUGCGGAGAGAUGGUCCCCCUCAGCUGUCCUUGCUAUCUUUGUUCUAGCUCCUCUACCGGACUCUCAGCUGGAGGGAGGAUUUAGGUCUUUGCAUGUUCACCCCUACAGUGCAGAGCACAGUGCCUGGCAGGCUGACGGUUGCCCUGUUAGCUGAAUUGAUUCUGAAUCUGGCCUGAAGACACUCCAGCUGCCCCAUCCCAAACGUCCUGGCUCCCUGAAGUCUCUGUGACCUCAUGUCAGAGUGGCUGGAAACUUUCACUCAAAUGAGCUGGCUGUGGCCUCCCCCGACUUUGAAAAUAAAUAAAGAAUACA